GUUCUAUGGAUUUUAAUUUUAGAUCAGUCCUGCUCUAUGAUUUAUUAAAUGGCUGCAGUAUUUUAACUGUACUAAGGUAGCAUAAUAAUUUGUCUUUUAAUUGGAGGCUAGAAUGAAUGGUUUCAUGAAAAAUUAACUUUUUUAUUUUAAUAUUUUGAAUUUAAUUUUUUAGUUAAAAAGCUAAAAUUUUUGUAUAGGACGAGAAGACCCUAUAGAAUUUUAUUUUUUAUUUAAUUUUAUUAUUUUUGAUUAUUUUAUAUUAUUUUUUUUAAUAAAAAAUUUUGUUGGGGUGAUUUAAAAACUUUUUUAACUUUUUAUUUUUUUUUCAUAGAUUAAUGUUUUUUUGUUCCUAUUUUUUUAGAUUAUAAGAUUAAAUUACCUUAGGGAUAACAGCGUUAUUUUUUCGGAUAGUACUUAUUGAUGGAAAAGUUUGCGA
rnacentral:rRNA from 1 species